rnacentral:rRNA from 1 species
UACGGGGGGGGGCAAGCGUUGUUCGGAAUUACUGGGCGUAAAGGGCUCGUAGGCGGCCAACUCAGUCGGACGUGAAAUCCCUCGGCUUAACCGGGGAACUGCGUCCGAUACUGGAUGGCUUGGAUUCGGGAGAGGAAUGCGGAAUUCCAGGUGUAGCGGUGAAAUGCGUAGAUAUCUGGAGGAACACCGGUGGCGAAGGCGGCAUUCUGGACCGACAUUGACGCUGAGGAGCGAAAGCCAGGGGAGCAAAGCGGG